CUCAGGAGACUGCGAAGGACAUUACUGAGUGUGGGCCCUCCGGGCUCUGCGAACUACCUGUCUAACCUGCUCCGGCUGGUUGUUUCUACAAUGCCCAAGCCGUUAAGCUGGUGAAAUAUUAAAAGUUUAAUAAAACUUUCAACCACCGAUCUCUUGGUUCAAGGCUCCAUGAAAAACCCAACCAAAUGCGAUUAAUAAUGGGAAUUGCCCAAUCCUUGGUUUCGGGAAACCUUGAACGCCAAUGGGACCCCAAUGGUAUUCCCAUUUGAACGCUGCGUUAUAGCAUCGAACCCUUGACCGCACGUUGCUUCCCCUUGGUACCCCGGCCGUCAUAAAGGUGCAAGAUAUUAAAUGCUCCUUUCUGCCCGGUAGGGUGAAACAAACGGGAGUAAUUUUUCUAGGGGUGAGUUAAACCCGCCGGGCCACCCUCACACAAGAUUGAACCAGCAACACAACCGGGAGGGACCCCGGCGCGGUGGGGGCCCACACCAUUAAAAUAUAUGGGCCCAAGAAGAGGACGCCCCCAGCCCCCCUUACCAUCGCAUAGUAACAAAUAGUAAUAUAAUUAGC
rnacentral:rRNA from 2 species